rnacentral:rRNA from 1 species
CAGUCGCCACGGGAAUACAGAGGGUGCGAGUGUUAAUCGGAUUUACUGGGCGUAAAGCGUGCGUAGGCGGCUUCUUAAGUCGGAUGUGAAAUCCCUGAGCUUAACUUAGGAAUUGCAUUCGAUACUGGGAAGCUAGAGUAUGGGAGAGGAUGGUAGAAUUCCAGGUGUAGCGGUGAAAUGCGUAGAGAUCUGGAGGAAUACCGAUGGCGAAGGCAGCCAUCUGGCCUAAUACUGACGCUGAGGUACGAAAGCAUGGGGAGCAAACAGGAUUAGAUACCCCGGUAGUCCCUGUCUCUUAUAC